GACGAACGCUGGCGGCGUGCCUAAUACAUGCAAGUUGAGCGAUGAAGAUUGGUGCUUGCACCAAUUUGAAGAGCAGCGAACGGGUGAGUAACGCGUGGGGAAUCUGCCUUUGAGCGGGGGACAACAUUUGGAAACGAAUGCUAAUACCGCAUAACAACUUUAAACAUAAGUUUUAAGUUUGAAAGAUGCAAUUGCAUCACUCAAAGAUGAUCCCGCGUUGUAUUAGCUAGUUGGUGAGGUAAAGGCUCACCAAGGCGAUGAUACAUAGCCAACCUGAGAGGGGGAGCGGCCACGUUGGGACUGAGACACGGCCCAAACCCCUACGGGAGGCAGCAGUAGGGAAUCUUCGGAAAGAGACGAAAGUCUGACCGAGCAACGCCGCGGGAGUGAAGAAGGGUUUCGGAUCGUAAAACUCGGUUGGUAGAGAAGAACGUUGGUGAGAGUGGAAAGCUCAUCAAGUGACGGUAACUACCCAGAAAGGGACGGCUAACUACGUG
rnacentral:rRNA from 1 species